rnacentral:rRNA from 1 species
AGCGGCGGACGGGUGAGUAACACGUGAGAAUCUGCCCAUUAGUGGGGGAUAACCUGGGGAAACCCAGGCUAAUACCGCAUAAUCCCUACGGGGGAAAGCAGGGGACCUUCGGGCCUUGUGCUGAUGGGUGAGCUCGCGUCGGAUUAGCUUGUUGGUGAGGUAAUGGCUCACCAAGGCGACGAUCCGUAGCUGGUCUUAGAGGAUGAUCAGCCACACCGGGACUGAGACACGGCCCGGACUCCUACGGGAGGCAGCAGUGGGGAAUCUUGGACAAUGGGGGCAACCCUGAUCCAGCCAUGCCGCGUGUGUGAAGAAGGCCUUCGGGUUGUAAAGCACUUUCAGUAGGGAGGAAGGCUUAUCCUUAAUACGGAUGAGUACUUGACGUUACCUACAGAAGAAGCACCGGCUAAUUUCGUGCCAGCAGCCGCGGUAAUACGAAAGGUGCAAGCGUUAAUCGGAAUUACUGGGCGUAAAGCGCGCGUAGGCGGUUUGCUAAGUCAGAUGUGAAAGCCCCGGGCUCAACCUGGGAACUGCAUUUGAAACUGGCAGGCUAGAAUGCAGUAGAGGGAGGUGGAAUUCCCGGUGUAGCGGCGAAAUGCGUAGAGAUCGGGAGGAACACCAGUGGCGAAGGCGGCUCUGACUGACAUGGACGCUGAGUGCGAAGCGUGGGGAGCAAACAGGAUUAGAUACCCUGGUAGUUCACGC